GACGAACGCUGGCGGCGUGCCUAAUACAUGCAAGUCGAACGCAGUGGGGACGGGUGAGUAACACGUGGGUAACCUCCCAUCAGAGGGGAUAACACUUGGAAACAGGUGCUAAACCGAUACUGAUGGAUGGACUCGUGGUACAUUAGCUAGUUGGUGAGGUAACGGCUCACCAAGGCCACGAUGCAAAGCGGACCUGAGAGGUGGAUCGGCAACGCUGGGAGUGAGCCGUGGCGCGAACUCGGGCGUGAGGCAGCAGUAGGGAAGCUUCGGCAAGGGACUGAAGUCUGUCCUGACAAAGACGCGUAAGUUUGUAGGGUUUUCGGUGCGUAAAACUAUGUUGUUAGUGAAGCGGUAUCGAACCAGAAAGCCACGGCUAACUACGUGCCAGCAGCCGCGGUAAUAC
rnacentral:rRNA from 1 species